rnacentral:rRNA from 1 species
CGAGCGGACAGAUGGGAGCUUGCUCCCUGAUGUUAGCGGCGGACGGGUGAGUAACACGUGGGUAACCUGCCUGUAAGACUGGGAUAACUCCGGGAAACCGGGGCUAAUACCGGAUGGUUGUUUGAACCGCAUGGUUCAAACAUAAAAGGUGGCUUCGGCUACCACUUACAGAUGGACCCGCGGCGCAUUAGCUAGUUGGUGAGGUAACGGCUCACCAAGGCAACGAUGCGUAGCCGACCUGAGAGGGUGAUCGGCCACACUGGGACUGAGACACGGCCCAGACUCCUACGGGAGGCAGCAGUAGGGAAUCUUCCGCAAUGGACGAAAGUCUGACGGAGCAACGCCGCGUGAGUGAUGAAGGUUUUCGGAUCGUAAAGCUCUGUUGUUAGGGAAGAACAAGUACCGUUCGAAUAGGGCGGUACCUUGACGGUACCUAACCAGAAAGCCACGGCUAACUACGUGCCAGCAGCCGCGGUAAUACGUAGGUGGCAAGCGUUGUCCGGAAUUAUUGGGCGUAAAGGGCUCGCAGGCGGUUUCUUAAGUCUGAUGUGAAAGCCCCCGGCUCAACCGGGGAGGGUCAUUGGAAACUGGGGAACUUGAGUGCAGAAGAGGAGAGUGGAAUUCCACGUGUAGCGGUGAAAUGCGUAGAGAUGUGGAGGAACACCAGUGGCGAAGCGACUCUCUGGUCUGUAACUGACGCUGAGGAGCGAAAGCGUGGGGAGCGAACAGGAUUAGAUACCCUGGUAGUCCACGCCGUAAACGAUGAGUGCUAAGUGUUAGGGGGUUUCCGCCCCUUAGUGCUGCAGCUAACGCAUUAAGCACUCCGCCUGGGGAGUACGGUCGCAAGACUGAAACUCAAAGGAAUUGACGGGGGCCCGCACAAGCGGUGGGAGCAUGUGGUUUAAUUCGAAGCAACGCGAAGAACCUUUACCAGGUCUUGACAUCCUCUGACAAUCCUAGAGAUAGGACGUCCCCUUCGGGGCAGAGUGACAGGUGGUGCAUGGUUGUCGUCAGCUCGUGUCGUGAGAUGUUGGGGUAGUCCCGCAACGAGCGCAACCCUGAUCUAGCUGCAGCAUCAGUGGCACCUCUAAGGGUGACUGCCCGGGUGACAAACCGGAAGAA